AUCGACUCGCUGAUCCACACCACAAGGAUCUACAGCUCAGACAUCGGGAUGUCAUUCGGGCUCGAGAAAUGUGGGAGGAUGGUGACAAAGAGAGGCAAGGUAAUCCACACAGAAGGGGUCUCACUUCCAGAAGGAACAAUAGCAGACAUUGAGGACAACUACAAGUACCUUGGAAUACCACAGGCGAACGGCAACCUUGAACAGACAACAAGGAAUGCGGCAGCAAAUACCUCCAACGAGUAAGGCAAGUCCUAAGAAGCCAGCUCAAUGGCAAGAACAAAUCCCGGGCAAUAAACAGCUACGCUCUGCCAGUGAUCAGAUACCCUGCAGGAAUAAUAAGGUGGCCAAAGGAAGAGAUACAGACCACAGAUGUUAAGACACGAAAGCUCCUCACCAUGCAUGGAGGGUUCCACCCCAAAUCCAGCACCCUGAGACUAUACGCUAGCCGCAAGGAAGGAGGCCGAGGACUAGUGAGCGUGAGAGCCACUAUCCGGGAUGAAACAUUCAAGAUCCAUAAGUACAUCAAGGAUAAGGCCCCGACAGAUGACGUGCUGAGUGAAUGUCUCAGGCAGUGGAGCACAGAGGAUGAGAUGCUGGAAGAAGGACCAUCAUGGGAGGACAAGCCCUUACACAGGAUGUACCACCGAAACAUAACUGAAGUGGCUGAUCUCAACAAAUCCUACCAAUGGCUUGAAAGGGCCGGGCUGAAGGACAGCACAGAGGCACUCAUCCUGGCUGCACAGGAGCAGGCCCUGAGCACCAGAGCCAUAGAGGCCCAGAUCUACCACACCAGACAAGACCCAAGGUGUAGACUGUGCAAAGAGGCCCCUGAGACGGUCCAGCACAUAACUGCAGGGUGUAAGAUGCUGGCAGGCAAAGCAUACAUGGAACGCCAUAACCAAGUGGCUGGCAUAGUAUACAGGAACAUCUGCGCGGAGUAUGGACUGGAAACCCCAAGGUCAAAGUGGGAAACACCUCCCAAGGUGGUAGAGAACGAGCGAGCCAAGAUCCUGUGGGACUUCCAGAUCCAGACUGACAGAAUGGUAAUGGCGAACCAACCAGACAUUGUGGUGGUGGAUAAAGAGCAGAGGAAAGCCGUAGUGGUGGAUGUGGCAAUACCAAGCGAUGGCAACAUCAGGAAAAAGGAACAUGAGAAACUAGAGAAAUACCAAGGGCUCAGGGAAGAACUGGAGAAGGCUUGGAAGGUGAAGGCCACAGUGGUACCUGUGGUGAUCGGAGCACUAGGGGCUGUGACCCCCAAACUGGAGGAGUGGCUACAACAGAUCCCUGGAAAAACAUCCGAAA
rnacentral:lncRNA from 1 species